AAUGCAGAGAGGAUGCACACUCUGAAGAGGGCAGGCAGCUUCUGCACCGAGGGAGCAAAGGGGCGUGUCAGGGGCAGCUGCUGGGAGGAGGGGCAAGCACCACGGAGAGUCUGGGAUGCCCAGCCAAGGAGCCCUGGAAGGGUUGCCCUGGGGACUGACACUGUGGGCUCUGUGUUUUAGCCAAGUCACCCAGGCAGCUGAACAGAGGAUGGACUGGAGGGAGAAGCCUGGAUGAUCGCUCAGCAACAAAGGAGCCAGAAAAGGCAAGGUGUACACACCGUGUGCAGCAUGGGCGAGCCUGCAGGCGUGCAGAACUUCUGAGUCCUAACCAUGGCUGGUGGCUCUUCCAGGAACAUGGUUUCCUGGACCCAAAAGAUGAGGAAACUGAGGCUUGGAGAGGCUUUCUGCCUUUGUCAACCUGGAGAUGCUGGGAAGGAAGUGAGGCCAUCCCGCCUCAGAUGCCUGUCCUCUGUCGUCAGGAGUAUUCUCUUGUUCUUCCGGACUUGGCCAAGCGGUGGUAAACCCCACAUGUGGUUCUGUGGUUGCCCACACAGUCCUAAAAAUAGCCAACAGGAACCCAGGGGCUCCCCCUUGGUGAGUGGCAGCAGUCCCAGUCCUCAGGCAGCCACCGACCUGCUCACUCCCCACAGGCGAGCAGGUCCUGUCUAGGAAGGGGCUGGGUGGCCUGGGUCCCAUGCAUGAUGAGCCAGAGGCUGUGCCAAGCUUGUAGCAAAUAUUAUUUUAUUUCAUUAUGUUUUCUUACAUCUGUGAUGUGGAGGUCAUGGCUCCACUGGACUCAUGAGGAGACUGAGGCUCAGAGCAAUGAAGUGACCUGCUCAAAGUUAAGGAGCUUCAGUGAGGACCCAAUUUGUUCUGAUCCUAAGGUCACUAUCCUUAAUUCCUCUCCCUGUGGGGUCUUCCCUUUCUUGAGCCUGUGGACAGCAGUGCAGUGGCAAGAGAAAGGCCUUCAGAGCUAUGCAGACCUGGCUUCAAGUCCCAGCCUCCCUGAUGAGCCCUGGUGGUCUUGAAUGACACAGUCCCUGCCCACAUGGAGCUGACAUUCUCAUAGAGAGAAAGGGACAAAUAAACAAAUGUACAA
rnacentral:lncRNA from 1 species